UUAAUUUUAGCUCCACAAUAAGUAUCAAACUUGCCGCUCAUGGAAUCGAAUCUGAAAUAUCUCACUUACAAAUUGAGAGUAAAGUACUACUAGACUCUAAUGCUACAUCCUCACGUCCCUUAGUGUAAAUAAUAUUAUUUAUUAAAAAAAUAAGAUUGAACUAAAGAUAUAUCUAAUUAGUAUUAUAAUCUAAUGAUAUUCCUCUUCACUUUUAAGUGAGAUGCUUUAGAUUAAUCCUCAUUGAAGACAAAUUUGAACCUUAUUAUUACUAAUUUAUUAUAAAACUUAACCCACUCUUCACCCAUUUAGUGCAUAUAAUAUCUUUUAUUCAAAAAAAAUAAAAAAUCCCUAAAGGUAAAUAACUAUUUGUAGGGUUGGUUCGGAUCAAGAUCCCGAGCUAAAACCCAACACUUGAAUACUGAAUUGAUCCCUUUUAAAAGGGGAUUUCGGAACCAAAACCCAGAACCGAAAUUUCGGUAUUUUCUAGUUUUGGGAUUCUUGAAAAAUUUUCGGAAUUUUGGUACGGUUCGAGAUUUCAAUUCCUAUUUGCCUUCUUGUAAAUGGAGGCUCGUGAUUAGUUCAAUUGAAACCUGCAUCAAAAUCCCAAACCAAAAAAAUAAAAACCCUAAUUCCACCUUUGAAUCCCGAAAUCUAGAGGUUCAAAUUCAAAUUUGUUCGUAUCCAUUAUUCAAAUCAAAGAAACGUAACAACCAUGGGAGCGACGGUGGUGGUGGCUUUGGAGGACACCCACGGCGCCGUGGACUGACAAAUGUGGAGAAUAAGGAAGGAGGAGAGUUCGAGAGAUGAACAAUUAGGGAGGAAGAGAGAGAUAUGAGAGUCGAGAACUCGAGAGAGGGUAUGGUGUGGACCGUGGUGGCUGGAGGGAGAUGAGAGGAGAGGGUAUGGUGUGGUGGUCGGAAUCGAUACUCGGAGAAGGUGGGGGAAAGAGAGGUAGAGGCGGAGUGAACAGAGAGACCUCGAGAGAGAUAAAAUAUAUGGAGAAAUAACCACAAAUUUGACCAUAAAUAGACAUUUUUAACCAACACUUAUAAAGUUUCAUAAUUCUAACCAAAAUUAACAUAAAAAUACCGCAAUGUCCUUUUAGUGGAGUUCACACUUGCUGUGCUCGACUGCGUUCCCACCAUGGCUUACAGCCACUAAACCUAUUGGUCAGAUGUAGCUUUUGGACAAAGAUCCGGAAUUUCCUGCUGAACUCUGAAUAUUUUCAAUUUCUGGAGCUUUGGAGUUCUGGGCUUCUUCUGCAACUGGGUCUUACAAUGAAACAUGGUGUAUAUGCAGAGAGGUUCGUAACUGAAAUUGCAGUGAAGGAAAACUGGGUCUCUGGGUGUUCUCUAAUUGUAUACUAAUCUCUGGGUUUUGGCUCACAGUUUGGAAGGGCUAUCUUGUGCUCUGAUGCUGCUACAGAAGCUGCUGGGUACGGGUUUAUUGAGUCUGUGGACAGACCGGAAGGAUUCUUGGUUUUAAGUGUAGCUUCUCAGGGAGACCAGAUCACCAAGAUUAAGAACCCACCGGAGGAUACCAAGUCUUCAGAAGAGAAGAGCUUCUGGGAAAUGCUUCCAUUCAAUUAUCGAAAGCAUUUGCAAAAACAGCGAGGAAAAUAAGUAACUAAAAUAGCGAUUGAAAAAAAUGUAUAGAAAAAAAAAAUGAAAGGCAGCGAACGAAGAACCACGAAUUCUAAUAAAGGGCAGUAUAGUAUUUUUAGGUCAAAUUUUGGUUAGAAUUAUGAAAAACUAUGACAGUUGAUUAAAAUUCUAUCCAUGAUCAUUAGCUACUUUUUUUAAAUUUCCCGAGAGAGAUAGAGAGGCCGGAGGCUUUCAGAUUGCUUAAUGACGACUAAGAGAGAAUCCAUUGAAAGGUUGAGAUUAAAUUUCAACCAAUUCAAUGAUCUACGUAUUUUCUAAACUUAAUUUAAAAUUAAACAUAUAUAUACACUUAAUAAAUGUUUCGGUUUGGUUUUGGGAUUACCGAACGAAGGCAUAUAGGAUCCCGAAUCCAGUAACAAAAUUUUCAAGACCGGGGUACUGAACUCUGUGGGAUGUUUUCGGUUCGGUUUCGGGACUUUUUUAGUUUGGUUUGGGAAUUUCAGUAUUUUUUUCCUCCCCUACCUAUUUGUAUAGCUGAAUUUUCCUUGAAUAUUCAGUUGUUCAUUCUGUCUAGAAUACAAUUCGAUCUCCAACCCAGAUACCAAAAGGUGCAGAAGACUGUAAAGCAGGAACUGUCUGAAUUUGGUUAUUAUUUUACAUCAUUGUGGAAUCUGCAUAUGCUGCAUUUACCGUUGCAUAUUUGCUUGGAUGAUGCAUGGGAAUCAAGAACAACUUUUCUUUGCUAUAUAUUAAUUCAGAUAGAUUAAAAAACUGUACAUUUUUAGCAAAUUUAACUCUCUUUCAACAAUCUUGAUAAGAUCCGAUGAUGCAUUUUCCAAGUUCAUUAAGAUAUUGAUGAUAGCGACGAGUGAAACAUUGAUACGUUGCGGAGAUUCUAACUGUGAUGAAUGCGCUAAUCAUUCGAGUACUUACUGCCUUAAGCCUUAAAUCCGCAAGAAUUUGAAGAAAAAAAUUUACAAGCAUAUAUUAUUAUACAUAUGCUAGUUUAUCCAGGCAAACAUGUUUAAUGGAAAGCACUAGAGAGUACUACUGGAAGAUUUCAUUUGAAACCCCAGCUCCGUAAUAUUACAAGUAGGAUUCUCACAUUAGAAUCGGAACACGAACAUGCAUGCCAGUUAAUUAGCAUACCGAACUCGUCAUUCAUGGUCGUACACUUUUAAUAUAAAUCUAACUUGAAGAACUAAAGAGGAGUUUAACAAUCAACAAACAAAAUACAUGUUUCAUAAGCA